rnacentral:lncRNA from 1 species
ACCAAGUGAUUGCUAACCGAAGCAGUUACAUACUUCAGUUUAAACUGCAGUUCCCACAUUCGAAUAGCAUCAGUAACAAACAUCUUUCAAAUACCAUUACUAACAGAAAUCAUAGGAUACUCUAAUAGUACAACAACCACUUGUUAGAUUUCACGAGCACUAUCCUUACCUCCAAGACAACAUAAACUUAACUUGCCCUGCAUAGUCACAGAACUACACAUCAUACUCACUCUUGUGCAGAUUUAACAGAACUCUAGAUUUCAAGAAAUAUUUGUCGGAU